AGUCUGGUCAUUCAGGGCCUGGGGGGUUUUGGGCUUACAGUUCGUAAGGGCCCUUAGACCUCUCCAAACUGCCGCAGAAUCAUUGGAGCGGAACUGUUCCUGUAGACGGUUAAAGUACACAGAUUUAGCUUUCUCCACUUCCCUGGUGAAGUGGUACUUCGCUUCUCUGUAUGUACUUCGGUCCCCGCUUCUCCACGCAGCCUCCUUCUUCUUGCGCAGCUGUCGGAGCUUGGGUGUGAACCAGGGCUUGUCGUUGUUAUAACAAACCCUGGUGCGCGUUGGAAUGAUGCACGCCUCAUUGAACUAUUCCCUUGCUGUGUCGAGGAGCUGCGACACUUCCGUGUGUGUCCACAUGGGGGUGCCAAAGAACCACUAGAGAAUCCCCUCCAAGCGCCCUGGUGACGUCAGAGGGCUCAGCAACGUGGAAGAAGAUGAGCAGUGUGAGCAUCCGUGAAGAGGGAAGCGAGGCCGAAGGCAAGACGGCGAGCGGCGUGGGCGCCAAAUGACAUCGGCGUGGUGUUCAAGGACAUCCUGAGAUGGAAAAGUGGCACAGAGAGCACAGUGAAUACACUCUCUGUCCACCGGAGCAAACCACAUAACAAAGAGGGAGAGCAUCAACUUAAAAAGGUGGCAUAAUGACAAUUUUUUUCACCCAACCGGAAAAAAAAAGAACUUUCACACGUUCUGACAGCUCUCAAUAAGUUCAGAAUCAGCACAAGACGGAAUUAAAAGCCUCCAAACACGGUUCGCUGAACAAAAGGAGCAGACAGACUGUAGCACAUCUUACCAGCUUCACAGGCAGUCACCUUCUUCCUUCCCUCACUGUGCGUGCCUAACAACAGUCCCCCAUGCAACAACUGGACGGAACCAAAAAAUAUACAUACGAUAUAUUCCGGAUUAUAAGCCGCUACCUUUUUCCUACACUUUGAACCCUGCGACUUAUAAAACGGUGCA